GAGAGAGCGUCUGUGAACUCAACUGACAACAACUCAGCUUCAUGUGUUCUCUGAGGCCGAUGGUGAUUCCACUUCAUACUCUCUUCAUGAGGUGUCCCAGACCCACCCCAAAAGCCCUGAGCCUUGCAGUGGCCUCUUUGGCCUCAGCAAGUUUACAGCAUGACCUGGGACCACAGUCCGGCAGGAGAGAAUAGGUGGAGAGAAGACGCACUUUUCGGAUGGGACAUUUGCUUAUGCUUCUCAGUGGACAAGCGCUCAGAAUUCUAGCAUGUGACUGGAUGAGGUGGUCUCCAGAUGUCUGCGACAUUUAUAUGAAGGACUGAAAUGAAAUAAUUGGAGCUAGUAUUUUUGUUGCAUGCACUAUUAGAGGCUCUGUCAUAGAGUGCUUUCAGCACAUUAUUUCAUUCAAUCUUCACAGCCUUCUUCAGAGAAGAUACUGUCACCAUUUCACAUGCAUGUAAGUAGAAGAGCCAAAAUUUGAAUGCAGAUCUGGCUUGCUUCAAAUUGCUUUUUCCAUUAACAUCCAUGUUUAUCAAAGUAUAGAGCACUUGUCAAGCACAGCAUUAAAGUCCCCUUUCACUACUAAUUAGAUGAAUUAGGUAAAUUAAGCUGUUUGGACUUCAGAUUUCUUAUUUGUAA